UACGAAGGGUCCAAGCGUUAUCCGGAUUUAUUGGGUUUAAAGGGUGCGUAGGCGGCUUAUUAAGUCAGUGGUGAAAGCCUGUAGCUCAACUACAGAACUGCCAUUGAUACUUAUGAGCUUGAAUAUACUUGAGGUUGGCGGAAUGUGUCAUGUAGCGGUGAAAUGCUUAGAUAUGACACAGAACACCGAUUGCGAAGGCAGCUAGCUAAAGUACAAUUGACGCUGAUGCACGAAAGCGUGGGGAGCAAACAGG
rnacentral:rRNA from 1 species